AUUGAACGCUGGCGGCAGGCCUAACACAUGCAAGUCGAGCGGAUGAAGGGAGCUUGCUCCUGGAUUCAGCGGCGGACGGGUGAGUAAUGCCUAGGAAUCUGCCUGGUAGUGGGGGAUAACGUCCGGAAACGGGCGCUAAUACCGCAUACGUCCUGAGGGAGAAAGUGGGGGAUCUUCGGACCUCACGCUAUCAGAUGAGCCUAGGUCGGAUUAGCUAGUUGGUGGGGUAAAGGCCUACCAAGGCGACGAUCCGUAACUGGUCUGAGAGGAUGAUCAGUCACACUGGAACUGAGACACGGUCCAGACUCCUACGGGAGGCAGCAGUGGGGAAUAUUGGACAAUGGGCGAAAGCCUGAUCCAGCCAUGCCGCGUGUGUGAAGAAGGUCUUCGGAUUGUAAAGCACUUUAAGUUGGGAGGAAGGGCAGUAAGUUAAUACCUUGCUGUUUUGACGUGACCAACAGAAUAAGCACCGGCUAACUGCGU
rnacentral:rRNA from 1 species